rnacentral:rRNA from 1 species
UGGAGGCAGCAGUGGGGAAUUUUGGGCAAUGGGCGAAAGCCUGACCCAGCAACGCCGCGUGAGGGAGGAAAUCCUUCGGGAUGUAAACCUCACAAGCAAGGGAAGAGCGCGUACGGGCUAAUACCUCGUAUGUCCGACGGUACCUUGCGUAAGCCACGGCUAACUACGUGCCAGCAGCCGCGGUAAUACGUAGGUGGCAAGCGUUGUUCGGAAUUAUUGGGCGUAAAGGGCGCGUAGGCGGCUUGUUAAGUCAGCUGUGAAAGCCCGGGGCUCAACCCCGGAGGGUCAGCUGAUACUGGCUAGCUAGAGUACAGAAGAGGUAGCUGGAAUUCCCGGUGUAGCGGUGAAAUGCGUAGAUAUCGGGAGGAGCACCAGAGGCGAAGGCGGGCUACUGGGCUGAUACUGACGCUGAUGCGCGAAAGCCAGGGGAGCAAACGGGAUUAGAAACCCCUGUAGUCCC